rnacentral:rRNA from 1 species
GAUGAACGCUAGCGGCAGGCCUAACACAUGCAAGUCGAGGGGUAGCGGGAUUAAGCUUGCUUAAUUGCUGACGACCGGCGCACGGGUGCGUAACGCGUAUGCAACCUACCUUAUACUGGGGUAUAGCCCGGAGAAAUUCGGAUUAAUCCCCCAUAGUACUAAUGAAUCGCAUGGUUUAUUAGUUAAAGCAUUGCGGUAUAAGAUGGGCAUGCGUCCUAUUAGCUAGAUGGUGAGGUAACGGCUCACCAUGGCUACGAUAGGUAGGGGGCCUGAGAGGGUGGACCCCCACACUGGUACUGAGAAACGGACCAGACUACUACGGGAGGCAGCAGUGAGGAAUAUUGGUCAAGGGGCGCAAGCCUGAACCAGCCAUGCCGCGUGCAGGAAGAAUGCCCUAUGGGUUGUAAACUGCUUUUAUUUGGGAAUAAACCUCUUUACGUGUAGAGAGCUGAAGGUACCAAAUGAAUAAGCACCGGCUAACUCCGUGCCAGCCGCCGCCGUAA